GAUGAAGAACGCAGCGAAAUGCGAUAAGUAGUGUGAAUUGCAGAAUUCAGUGAAUCAUCGAAUCUUUGAACGCACAUUGCGCCCCUUGGUAUUCCAUGGGGCAUGCCUGUUCGAGCGUCAUUUGUACCUUCAAGCUUUGCUUGGUGUUGGGUGUUUGUCUCGCCUUUGCGUGUAGACUCGCCUUAAAAUAAUUGGCAGCCGGCGUAUUGAUUUCGGAGCGCAGUACAUCUCGCGCUUUGCACUCAUAACGACAGCGUCCAAAAGUACAUUUUACACUCUUGACCUCGGAUCAGGUAGGGAUACCCGCUGAACUUAAGCAUAUCAAUAAGCAGAGGA
rnacentral:misc_RNA from 1 species